GCUGUGUGAUGACACCAAGGCGAAUGCGAUUUUGUUGGUUAGAGCAGAAGCACUGCUGUUUCCCUCAACCUUUGACCUGUUUGGUCUGUAAUCUUGGUCAUCUUGCAUAGUUUUGCAUUUUGGCUGUAAGGGCAGACCUACAGAAACCUGCAACUUUCUUCACAGCCUUGUCAUCUGAAGAGCUAAUGUCGGGCUUAAGAGGGUGCAAACAGUUUUGGGUAAGGGCGUUUGCAGGUCCAAGGAAGGGUUAUGGCGGCCUCUGUUCUGUGGUAAACUAACAAAAUGUGAGCACACAUCUUUGGUAAUCUGACAGCA